AGAGUUUGAUCAUGGCUCAGGAUGAACGCUGGCGGCGUGCCUAACACAUGCAAGUCGAACGAAGCAUAUCGGACGGAGAUUCGUCGAAGACUGGUAUGACUUAGUGGCGGACGGGUGAGUAAUGUAUGAGCAACCUGCCUUUCAGAGGGGGACAACAGUUGGAAACGACUGCUAAUACCGCGUAAUGUAAUGAAGGGGCAUCCCUUUAUUACCAAAGGAGCAAUCCGCUGAAAGAUGGGCUCAUAUCUGAUUAGCUUGUUGGCGGGGUAACGGCCCACCAAGGCGACGAUCAGUAGCCGGACUGAGAGGUUGAACGGCCACAUUGGGACUGAGAUACGGCCCAGACUCCUACGGGAGGCAGCAGUGGGGAAUAUUGGGCAAUGGGCGAAAGCCUGAACCCCAGCAACGCCGCGUGAAGGAAGAAGGUCUUCGGAUUGUAAACUUCCUUUAUGAGGGACGAAGGACGUGACGGUACCUCAUGAAUAAGCCACGGCUAACUACGUGCCAGCAGCAGC
rnacentral:rRNA from 1 species